rnacentral:rRNA from 1 species
AAGUCGUAACAAGGUUUCCGUAGGUGAACCUGCGGAAGGAUCAUUAGAAAUGCCGAGCCGCAAGGCGAGGUUUAACUCUAUACCAUACACACCGUGCACCGAGCCCUCUCGGGCUUUCAAACUAUUUGGUAAUGAAUGUAAAUAACAUAAAUGAAAAUACAACUUUCAACAACGGAUCUCUUGGCUCUCGCAUCGAUGAAGAACGCAGCGAAAUGCGAAAAGUAAUGUGAAUUGCAGAAUUCAGUGAAUCAUCGAAUCUUUGAACGCACCUUGCACCCUUUGGUAUUCCGAAGGGUAUGCCUGUCUGAGUGUCAUUAGACCAUCUCCUCCACGGUUUUCCGCGCUGGAGCUUUGGGCGCCUGCCUGUCCGGCUCGCCUUAAAUGCCUAAGUGAUAUGAUAAGUCAACGUCACUCUAAUAACACCUCAUGCUCUGACCUCAGAUCAGGUAGGACUACCCGCUGAACUUAA